CGCUCUUGUGUCUCUUCAAAUAAUAUAAAUCUUUCGCCUUUUACCAAGGAUAUCUGUGGAGAGGGAUGACAAGAGGUUUUCCCAAUUUUUUGAUUAUCUGCAUGUUGCGGGGAU